CACAAGAAGGGGAGGGGCGUUUUGGCUCCCAGGUCCAGGUGAACCUGAUAUCUGGCCCGUCCAGGUGAGCUGUGAGAUCUGUGCCGGAAAUUACUGAAGUUGCUAUACGAAAACCAGAUAAUAGGGGAAUACAUCUGUACGUAUAGCAUCAGGCGACCGUUGGAAACGUCCGUGGAGUCGCCGUUAACGGUGGCUAGCGCGGAGCCGUCUGGGGUUACAGCCGCGCGCCCGCGCCGUGUGCAUCUGUUCGUUACAGGGCGUUAGCUGGACCCACUUGUCAGCUGGAACCACAAGGUAGACGAGGCCAAAAAUGAAUGCAUCCCCAUCCAGCAGCCUCGGCGCUGUUUGAGAAGAAAGGGGAUCGAGGGAAAAACAUCGGCGGCGGCGGCGGGUGCGUCGGCGGGUUUCUCCCGAACUGCUUUUAUACUCGCGUGGGUCUCCGAUUAGAGGUGGCGCAGCCAUGGCGAUGGAUUUCCCCGUCUCUCCGGUCGACAGACACGCAGGUUGCCCAUCUUUCCUGAUGAGGGCUGUAGCGCGGCAGCCCUAAUGGAGUUGAUUGGUGGCGGUGGUCGUGGGGAAGAAGAGUCCGCCAAUGGAUCGGGCGGGGCGGUCGUAUGUGGAUUUGGGUUGAGCUCACCUGGGCAGUCCGUUGGUGCUGCUAUGUAUGGCGAGGAAACCAGUGUAGCUGCCUGCGCCCCUGCCAUGUCCGGUUUCAGUGAGAAUGAGGGUGACAACGCCGAUGCCAUUGAACACGGCGGCGUUGAAGGCCAUGACGCUGUGAUUCAAGAUCAAACAGAAAGUGGCGAUGGAGGCUCGGCUCAAUCUACGGGGAAGGUGGAUCCCCAAACACAUGGAUGGACAAAAAGAUGGAAGUGGGAGCGCCUCACGCAUUGCAAGUGCUGAAGGUGUGCAUGGUAGUUGCUUCCCGUGCAAACACAGCUGAUCGUGCUUUGGUCGACGAGCUUGAUGCUGCUCCUGUUCAUGUCUGUGGAUCUACAAGGCAUGGUGGUGAUGAAGAGCCUAGCAACUUCAACAUAUCGGGGGGAAACCAACGAUUUUUAUAUUCUUCAUUCAUGGAAGCAUGGUUUUGCCAUCAGAUAUGGGGAAAGUAGGCUUAACGUUGAGAAGAAGUGUAUGCAGGAAGUUGUCUGUAGAUGCUCUGGGAAGCCAAAAAUCAGAAAACUGCAGGUCCUGUUGGGUGCGAGUGCCCAGCCAUGAUUCGAUUGCUCCGCACAGCUGACAAUGGGCACGCCUCGUCUGCCGCUGCAGUCGGAGAUGCAAUUGGUGGCGAGCAGUUAGCUUUGAUUCACGAUAAUUACGAAGCAUUGGCUCAAUCAACGUGGAAGGUGGAUCAACAGGCGCCUAGCUGGACGAAAAGCCAACGCAGAUAAACUUUGCCUGGUGGAAUUUACUGUGAGAUUUGGGGGUUCUUCAGUGUGACUGAAUGAUAGACUGACAGUAGAGAUUUAGAAAUUUCUUGCACAAGCUAGAGUACGGGAGGUGUAGUUCUGAAAACACGUGGAAUACACACCAAGGCACGCAUCGCGAUGAGAAGGGGCGGUCCAGAUUUCAGGAUCAUCUGGACCUGGGAGCCGAAUUGCAUUUCCGCAAGAAGCUACUCUAGUCUAGUAUAUAAAGGAAAUCAGAUGUGAUGGGUUUAGGGUAUAACCCUUCUCAGGCCGCGUGGAGUUCAUUUAUAGUUGAAUAAGAUUACAAAG